rnacentral:rRNA from 1 species
UAGGGAAUCUUCCACAAUGGACGCAAGUCUGAUGGAGCAACGCCGCGUGAGUGAAGAAGGCUUUCGGGUCGUAAAACUCUGUUAUUGAAGAAGAACGUGCGUGACAGUAACUGGUCAUGCAGUGACGGUAUUCAAUCAGAAAAGUCACGGCUAACUACGUGCCAGCAGCCGCGGUAAUACGUAGGUGGCAAGCGUUGUCCGGAUUUAUUGGGCGUAAAGCGAGUGCAGGCGGUCUUUUAAGUCUGAUGUGAAAGCCUUCGGCUUAACCGAAGAAGGGCAUCGGAAACUGGGAGACUUGAGUGCAGAAGAGGAGAGUGGAACUCCAUGUGUAGCGGUGAAAUGCGUAGAUAUAUGGAAGAACACCAGUGGCGAAGGCGGCUCUCUGGUCUGUAACUGACGCUGAGGCUCGAAAGCGUGGGUAGCAAACAGGAUUAGA